rnacentral:rRNA from 1 species
UACGUAGGGUGCAAGCGUUAAUCGGAAUUACUGGGCGUAAAGCGUGCGCAGGCGGUUUUUUAAGUCAGAGGUGAAAUCCCCGGGCUCAACCUGGGAACUGCCUUUGUGACUGCAUAGCUAGAGUACGGUAGAGGGGGGUGGAAUUCCGCGUGUAGCAGUGAAAUGCGUAGAUAUGCGGAGGAACACCGAUGGCGAAGGCAAUCCCCUGGACCUGUACUGACGCUCAUGCACGAAAGCGUGGGGAGCAAACGGG